rnacentral:rRNA from 2 species
UGCGGCCAUACCCGGUCGAAAAUACUGUUUCCCGUCCGAUCAACGAACGUCAAGCGCCCGAGGGCCACAGUGAGUAAUACAGUGGGAGACCAUGUGUGAAAUUGUGGUGCUGCAAUC